AACGAACGCUGGCGGCAGGCUUAACACAUGCAAGUCGAACGCCACCUUCGGGUGGAGUGGCAGACGGGUGAGUAACGCGUGGAAACAUACCUUUGCUUCGGCAUAUUCCCGGGAAACUGGGAGCAAUACCGAAUGUGCCCUGAGGGGGAAAGGUUUAGCGGCAAAAGAUUGGUCCGCGUUAGAUUAGGUAGUUGGUAGGGUAAAGGCCUACCAAGCCUACGAUCUAUAGCUGGUCUGAGAGGAUGAUCAGCCACAUUGGGACUGAGACACGGCCCAAACUCCUACGGGAGGCAGCAGUGGGGAAUAUUGGACAAUGGGCGCAAGCCUGAUCCAGCCAUGCCGCGUGAAUGAUGAAGGCCUUAGGGUUGUAAAAUUCUUUCACCGGGGACGAUAAUGACGGUACCCGGAGAAGAAGCCCCGGCUAACUUCGUGCCAGCAGCCGCAGUAA
rnacentral:rRNA from 1 species